AGAGGGUUAGUUAAUUUAUUGUCUAGAAAUGACAUUUAAGUUGGUCCUUGAGAAAUGUUAGAAUUUUUAUAGCAGUGAUAAUGGAAAGGCAUUCUAAGUGGAUAAAAACUGUGGUUAGAAACAUAGACUGGAGAGCAGGGUAUCUGAAACAAUGCUGAGCCAUUGUUUGCUAAUAGUGGACUAUGUAAGCAAGGCAGUGGAAUAUAGGCUAGAAGGGUAUAUUGAAGCCAAAUUAAAGAAGGAUGUGAAGGUUAGGCUAAGAAGUGUGAUGAGCUUUAUUUAGGUAAUAGGCAAUGAGGAGAAAUUGAAACAUGAAGGAACAUAAUUUGAGGUGUGAUUAUUUGAGUUUUUAAAAUAUUAUCACUGUGCAUCAGAAUGGGUUAGGGAAGGCUUAAAUCCUGGAUGCUGGCUCAGCACCUAUUAGAGCAAUUAAAAUGAGAAAUGAUGCAGACUAAACUAGAAUUUCAGGUAAAAAUGGGAAAAAUAGGCGUUAAAAAAUGGUAUAAACGUUAAAAAACUACACUUGACUGAGUUAGAAUAUGGAGGAAAAGGAAGUAUGGAGAUCAAAAGAAAACAUCAGGAUUUGGGAGCUUGGACACAGGGGAAUGACAACGUAAAGGGAUUAUUUCAAAGAUAAUUUGGCAUAGACACUUCUAGACUCUCCUCUUCAUCUGUGUGUGGUGAAAAAUUAUGUGGUACACAAGACAGAAGAAAAGCCAAACAUACAAGAAACAAAGCAUUCAACAGAAGAUUCAGAGAUGACCCAGAUAUUGAAACUAAAUGGAAAUGCCAAUUCUCAAGCUCAUAUGUAAUUUCAACUGGAUUUUCAAAUGCAAAAUAAGUUGAAUCUCUACCUUAUGCCAUAUAUAAAAAUUAACCCCAAAUGGACUGAAAACAUAAAUAUAAGCAUGAAUAUUAACACUUUUGGAAGAAAUCAUGGGGUAAAUCUUCAUAACCCUGGAUUUGGCAACGAAUUCUUAGUUAUGAUAUCAAUAACAUAAAUAUGGAUAAAUUGGAUUUCAUCAAAAUUAAAAGCUUGUAUGUACCAAAAAUGUUAUCAAAGAAGUAAAAUGACAAUCUAGAAUGGAGGAGAAAAUAUUUGUGAAUCAUAUCUCUGAUAAAAGUCUAAUAUUCAUACUAUAUAAAGAACACAGUUCAACAAAAGACAAACCACCUAAUUAAAAAGAGGGUAAAAGACUUGAAUAGAAAUUUCACCGCAGAAACUAUACAAAUGACUAUCAAACACUUAAAAAGAUGCUCAUAUCAGUAGUCAUUAGGGAAAUGCAUAGCAAAACCACAGUGAGGGAUGACUUCAUACACAUUAGGUUGUAAACACACAGACACACACACAUGCACACAGUGUUGGCAAGGAUGUGAAAAAAUUAAAGCCGUUGUAUAAUGCUGGUGGGAAUGUAAAAUUAUUCAGUUGCUAUGAAAAACAAUUCAAUGGUUUCUCAAAAAGUUAAAAACAGAAAUCCCACAUGACCCUUCAAUUCCACUCCUAGAUAUGUACCCAAAAGAAUUAAAAACAGAUACUCAGAAAGGUACAUGGUCACACAUUUUAUAGCAGCACUAUUCAAAAUGGCCAACAGGUGAAAAC
rnacentral:lncRNA from 1 species